UACGUAGGGCGCAAGCGUUGUCCGGAAUUAUUGGGCGUAAAGAGCUCGUAGGCGGUCUGUUGCGUCCGCUGUGAAACUCGGGGCUUAACCCCGAGCCUGCAGUGGAUACGGGCAGACUAGAGGUAGGUAGGGGAGAAUGGAAUUCCCGGUGUAGCGGUGAAAUGCGCAGAUAUCGGGAGGAACACCGAUGCGAAGGCAGCUCGCUGGGACGGUACGUGACGCUGAGGCGCGAAGCGAUGGGAGCGAGGAGA
rnacentral:rRNA from 1 species